rnacentral:rRNA from 1 species
GUGGGGAAUCUUCCGCAAUGGACGAAAGUCUGACGGAGCAACGCCGCGUGAGUGAAGAAGGUUUUCGGAUCGUAAAGCUCUUUCGUUAGGGACGAACGUGCUCUUUGUGAAUAAUGAGGAGUAAUGACGGUACCUAAAUAAGAAGCCACGGCUAACUACGUGCCAGCAGCCGCGGUAAUACGUAGGUGGCAAGCGUUGUCCGGAAUUAUUGGGCGUAAAGCGCGCGCAGGCGGGAUAUCAAGUCUGUCUUAAAAGUGCGAGGCUCAACCUCGUGAGGGGACGGAAACUGGUAUUCUUGAGUGUCGGAGAGGAAAGUUGAAUUCCAAGUGUAGCGGUGAAAUGCGUAGAGAUUUGGAAGAACACCAGUGGCGAAGGCGACUUUCUGGACGAUGUCUGACGCUGAGGCGCGAAAGCUAGGGGAGCGAACGGGAUUAGAUACCCUGGUAGUCC